rnacentral:piRNA from 1 species
CAUUAUAUUUGCCAUGGUCA